UUAAAGUUGGGGGUGUUCAGUUUCAAUAAGCUCAGCACAAGAGGGUUGACACCAGCAGCAGAGUAAUUGAAAACACUUUUCAGGGUCAGGCUGCCUAUAGAUCUGAGGAGUAAUACCAGCCCGGCGAGAUGACAGAAGCAGAAGUCAGUGGGAGUUAUUGCCAUCCUGGUGGGGAGUUCAUUGCUGAGGAUCAGAGGGGAAACAAAUGAAAAAGCAAGGAACCCAAAGGAACGUCCAAGUCUUAAACCCUCACCCACCACCAUGUCUGGGUGUGGAACCACAGGACUUUAUAAGUACUGACAGAGCAGGAUCCACAGCUUGUUUGGGAAUUAGUGAAGUACUUGAAAUAAGCAGUGAAUGCUCUGGUCAGAGGGUUGUUUACUGGUUCUCUCAUCACAUAGUUCGUGAUUGAAAUCAUGACUUUGUUCAAAACAUUCAGUCAUAGAGAAACAACCUGUAGUCAGGAAAGGAAUCAAAAACUAGCAAUUCACCAAGGUUUCACACGUAUCACAGCUUGGAUCUGAUUUACAUUCAUCACUAGAGUUCAUCGCAGAUAUCUAGAACCACAACAACCACAAAAAAAAUCCAGUAUGAAGUAAAGCUACACAGCACAGACAUGUUUAGACCCACUUUAUUGAAGUCUCUCAUUUGAAGUCAGAACAUCUCAGACAACUGAAAUGCCAGAUGUAAUCCUUCCUUGCAGAGAAGAACUACAUGAAGUUGCUUUGUUGCAAACAUAUUGAGGAUAUUUAUUGAACCCUUUUCCUUUGGUGUGUCUUUUAAAUAUCUUUGCCCUUUAUUCUCACUGUAAAAUGUGCCCAUUGGUAGGCUGGAGUAUCAAGAAACGGCUCCAACUUGGAACCAGUUCUGAAUUUCUGAGAUUCCUGGAUUCGAUAAGGCACAUGAAUUUUGGUUCUGAACAGCCAGUAAAAAUCAGUGAGGAUUUUGUAGUCGCAGCACGUCAACAAGGUUAUGAGAAGAGGAUCAUGGUGGAUGGCAGCAAGUAAUCAAAAGUUUGGCUAAGCUUCACUGAAAUAAUGACACAGCAAAGUGCAACAAGUGUGGCAGAGACAUUUCAUGGAAGGGAGGAAGCAGGGAGAGUAGCUGCUGUGUUGGGGGGCGGCAGUAGCUCAGUCCAGUCCAAAGGGUCUUGGCUUGGGCAGAGGGAUGCCAGUUCAAGUCCCAGAGUGGACAAAGUUUGGCAAGUGGACUGGUGGCUGGAGAGGUGCUGGCCCAUUUGCCUGGGCACCAAACCCCCAAGCAUGUCCAUAACAUGUUUGUGCAUGAUUGUAUGUAUAACAAACUAUGUGUGCAUGUAGCAUGAUCAAAAAAAGAACACAAGUCUCCCAUGGGGAAAAAUAAAGUACGUUUACCUUACCUUA